rnacentral:rRNA from 1 species
AAAUGAAUAGACGGGGGCCCGCACAAGCAGUGGAGUAUGUGGUUUAAUUCGAAGCAACGCGAAGAACCUUACCAGGUCUUGACAUCCACGGAAUCCGAUAGAGAUAUUGGAGUGCCCUUCGGGGAAUCGUGAGACAGGUGGUGCAUGGUUGUCGUCAGCUCGUGUCGUGAGAUGUUGGGUUAAGUCCCGCAACGAGCGCAACCCUUAUCAAUAGUUGCUACGCAAGAGCACUCUAUUGAGACUGCCGUUGACAAAACGGAGGAAGGUGGGGAUGACGUCAAAUCAUCAUGCCCCUUAUGACCUGGGCUACACACGUACUACAAUGGCGUAACAAAGGGAAGCAACACCGCGAGGUGGAGCAAAUCUCAAAAAGACGUCUCAGUUCAGAUUGCAGGCUGCAACUCGCCUGCAUGAAGACGGAAUUGCUAGUAAUCGCAGAUCAGCAUGCUGCGGUGAAUACGUUCCCGGGCCUUGUACACACCGCCCGU